ACUGUUCGUCUAGAUAACAUCCAGCAGUACCCACACGACCUUGCAUGCAAGUUGCAUGCAAAGUUUUGUCUGUCUAGUUUUUCUAUUUGUCGGUUAGUCUUGAGGUGAUAUUGCUCCGUGUUCGUUGUUGAUCGAAGAUUUAGCUGUUUGGGCGCUCCAGAACACGCCUUUUGAUGCUACCUUCCCUGACAAAUGCAGCUUUAGCUAAAAAGCCCCCGGACAUGAAAACUGUAUUUUCUGUAAGAAUCCCCUGAAGAAGACCGCAUAUUGCGUCAAAACGUCGGAAUAAAAAAGAAAAAAC
rnacentral:lncRNA from 1 species